rnacentral:tRNA from 1 species
GGAGAGGUGUCCGAGUCCGGUUUAAGGAGCCCGCCUGGAAAGCGAGUAGACGGUUCAACCCGUCUCGAGGGUUCGAAUCCCUCCCUCUCCG